GCAUGAAGUCCAAAACCAAGGUAUGGGCAGGGCCUGCUCCAGUCAAGGCCUCUCAGGUCUGUGGGGUGUGGCGGGCGGAGGAGGCACCUCUGGGACGGUUGCCACAUCAGUCACAGCAGAAGCACCCGUGCUUCCCCCAGCAUCUUGAAGAAAGCUGAGGAGGAGCAGUCAGCAGCUGUGCCCUGUCUGUUUUAGCAGGAGCCUGAAUAAAGGCACAGGUGGCUGCAGCUGCGUCCAAUGCCACCAAAUGGGGCCUUUGUGAGCCAUGGACAUACCGAAGGACCUCAGCAUCUUCAAAGCCCUCAGACGUGGCAGAAAACCAGUUGGGAGGAAUAUUUGCUCCCGCACCGACGCGCAAACAGCCUGACGUGUGUGAAUACAGAGACCGGGGGGUUCCUUCCGAAGGCUGUUUAAAUUCCCAUCGUGUUUUCAAUGGGCAUUCAUUUAGCAGUCUUGGCUUUAUGAAUCAUAAAAAUAAAUGCUCUGUUUGUUUUUGUCCCUCAAACGCACUCAGUUAACCUGCUCCUGUCCCCAGAAGGCGAUUAACAAACACUUAAACUGCUGGUCAGCUUGGUCAUUACUCCAACCCUGCAUGACGAUGGAACCAUCAACACAACUUACUUUGAUAUUUUUUCCUCCCCAAGCACCAGCUCAGAGGAGGCCAGCAGGCCCGGGCCCCAGGAGCUUCACCUCCUCCUGAUGCGAUGUGUGACUCUGGGACCCCCUCACACUCCUGGCCCUGCAGCCCCUUCCCCUGCAUGCCCCCUCCUGUGAGAGUCUCAGUGACUGUCCAAGAGCACACCUGGCCUUGUCUCUCCAUGACCUUCUCCUGGGCUCAGACCAACACAAGGAGAGCCAGGAUGGAGAGUUCAGGCCUCAGCUUCCCCUCAGUGUGGCCCCAGGGCCUCGGGUGGUGAUUGCCCAAGCCUCCUCAAGUGUGGUGGGCGGGUAUUGCUGCUGGUGUUGUGGUGGGCGGGUGUUGUGGUGGGCGGGUGUGGACUCAGGUAUUCUGGUGGGUGGGUGUUGACUUGGGUGUUGUGGUGGGCGGGUGUUGUGGUGGGCAGGUGUGCACUCAGGUGUUGUGGAGGGCGGGUAUUGCCACGGGUUUGUCACCUCUUCCUGUCCCAGGAAAGUGCUGGUUCCCAAGAGCACUCCCAGGUAAUGGGUUGAGGUUUUCCACUAUGGGCCCCAGCACCAGUUCUGGGCCCCAGGAAAUUCUCUGUGGACGCUGUGCUCUUACCCCGUGCAUGGACAUUGAGCUAUUGGUAGGUCUUUACAAACAAUCCUGGGUCCACUAUUCUGAGAGGAGCUGAACUCCUGUGUGAGACACCACAUCGGAAACACCAGGGCCAAAAGCACAGAUGGAGUCUUCCUUUGCUUCCCCAAAGGAAGAAUGCACAGGAGCCUGGCACUCCUGGACCUGAGGAAACCCUGAAAUGUUGGCAUCUGCAGAUCCUCUCCAAAAAGAGGUCACCAGUCUCCUAACUGCAAGUCUGACCCCAGCAUUCUGGGAGCCAAGAGGGAGAAAGAGUCUGUGGAUCUCCCUGCUCAGUAAAUUGGCUUUCACUAAAUCCUCUCUGUGCAUAAGCAGCAUUACCCAGUGUCCUGGAGCUUAGAAAAGUCCUGUUUCAAUGUCUGAAGAAAAUAAAUUGUUUCUUUUUCCAAAGUCAGGGAGGAGUAUUUGACUGCCAGUGUGGACUGAGGGGUCUUGGGAUCACACUCUUCCCAAUCAGCUUUGAACCGACCCUCUGUGUCUGCCUCACCAUCUCCUCUGCUUAUCUAGACACUUGGGAACCCUAACACAAGCCCUUCUAGGAGUCUGUGGUGUGGCUCAGCUGCCUCUGUAGGCAUGUCUCUUCCCAAUGUGCUUUGAACCGACCUUUCUGUGUCUGCCUCACCAUCUCCUCUCCUUACCUAGACACUUGAGAACCCUAACACAAAUCCUUCUAGGAGUCUGUGGUGUGGCUCAGCUGCCUCUGUAGGCAUCUCUUGGGGUUAAACAUUUUCCACUCUGCUAAGGCAGUGCCAUCUAUUCUUCUGCUUCAUCUUCAGAAGACACUGAGCCCUUCCCCACCCUCCCUUCCCCACCCCCCACACCAAGUCCGUGG
rnacentral:lncRNA from 10 species